AGUGAACGCUGGCGGUAGGCCUAACACAUGCAAGUCGAACGGCAGCACAGUAAGAGCUUGCUCUUACGGGUGGCGAGUGGCGGACGGGUGAGGAAUACAUCGGAAUCUACUUUUUCGUGGGGGAUGACGUAGGGAAACUUACGCUAAUACCGCAUACGGCCUACGGGUGAAAGCAGGGGAUCUUCGGACCUUGCGCGAUUGAAUGAGCCGAUGUCGGAUUAGCUAGUUGGCGGGGUAAAGGCCCACCAAGGCGACGAUCCGUAGCUGGUCUGAGAGGAUGAUCGGCCACACUGGAACUGAGACACGGUCCAGACUACUACGGGAGGCAGCAGUGGGGAAUAUUGGACAAUGGGCGCAAGCCUGAUCCAGCCAUACCGCGUGGGUGAAGAAGGCCUUCGGGUUGUAAAGCCCUUUUGUUGGGAAAGAAAAGCAGCAGGUUAAUACCCCGCUGUUCUGACGGUACCCAAAGAAUAAGCACCGGCUAACUUCGUG
rnacentral:rRNA from 1 species